GAGGGUAUAGCUCAGUGGUAGAGUGCAUGCCUAGCAUGCUAAAGCCUUGGGUUCAAUUCCCAGUACCUCUA
rnacentral:tRNA from 1 species